UGGUUCCGAGAGUGCCAUUGUUG
rnacentral:siRNA from 1 species